CUACGGGGGGCUGCAGUGGGGAAUAUUGGACAAUGGGGGAAACCCUGAUCCAGCAAUGCCGCGUGUGUGAAGAAGGCCUGCGGGUUGUAAAGCACUUUCGGUUGGGAGGACUGCUUCUAGCACUAAUAUUGUUGGAAGUUGACGUUACCUUCAGAAGAAGCACCGGCUAACUCCGUGCCAGCAGCUGCGGUAAUACGGAGGGUGCAAGCGUUAAUCGGAAUUACUGGGCGUAAAGCGCGCGGAGGCGGCUAGAUCAGUCGGGUGUGAAAGCCCCGGGCUUAACCUGGGAACUGCAUCCGAUACUGUCUAGCUUGAGUACAGGAGAGGAGAGUGGAAUUCCACAUGUAGCGGUGAAAUGCGUAGAUAUGUGGAGGAACACCAAUGGCGAAGGCAGCUCUCUGGCCUGAUACUGACGCUGAGGUGCGAAAGCGUGGGGAGCAAACAGGAUUAGAUACCCCAGUAGUC
rnacentral:rRNA from 1 species